rnacentral:rRNA from 1 species
AGCGGAGGAAAAGAAACCAACAGGGAUUGCCCCAGUAACGGCGAGUGAAGCGGCAACAGCUCAAAUUUGAAAUCUGGCUCUCGGGCCCGAGUUGUAAUUUGUAGAGGAUGCUUUUGGUGAGGUGCCUUCCGAGUUCCCUGGAACGGGACGCCAUAGAGGGUGAGAGCCCCGUCUGGUUGGACGCCGAUCCUCUGUAAAGCUCCUUCGACGAGUCGAGUAGUUUGGGAAUGCUGCUCUAAAUGGGAGGUAUAUGUCUUCUAAAGCUAAAUACCGGCCAGAGACCGAUAGCGCACAAGUAGAGUGAUCGAAAGAUGAAAAGAACUUUGAAAAGAGAGUUAAAAAGUACGUGAAAUUGUUGAAAGGGAAGCGCUUGUGACCAGACUUGGGCUUGGUUGAUCAUCCGGGGUUCUCCCCGGUGCACUCUUCCGGCUCAGGCCAGCAUCAGUUCGCCUCGGGGGAUAAAGGCUUCGGGAAUGUGGCUCUCUCCGGGGAGUGUUAUAGCCCGCUGCGUAAUACCCUGUGGCGGACUGAGGUUCGCGCAUUCGCAAGGAUGCUGGCGUAAUGGUCAUCAGUGACCCGUCUUGAAACACGGACCAAGGAGUCGUCUUCGUAUGCGAGUGUUCGGGUGUCAAACCCCUACGCGAAAUGAAAGUGAACGCAGGUGAGAGCUUCGGCGCAUCAUCGACCGAUCCUGAUGUUAUCGGAUGGAUUUGAGUAAGAGCAUACGGGGCCGGACCCGAAAGAAGGUGAACUAUGCCUGUGUAGGGUGAAGCCAGAGGAAACUCUGGUGGAGGCUCGCAGCGGUUCUGACGUGCAAAUCGAUCGUCAAACAUGGGCAUGGGGGCGAAAGACUAAUCGACUCU